AGAAAAUCAACUUAAUCUAAAUUUUGAGAUGUGGAUCUGUCUCACCAACAUUCUCGCGAGAUUUGCUCUUCCUUGAAAACACGCAUGCGCAUUUAGUGGGCGGAUGUGACGUGAUUUCGAUUGGAAGAAACAAUUCUGCAUCGAAGGAAUAACGACUGAAAUAUUGGAGUGUCGAAAUGACAAAACGAAAACCUGGAAAACGAUGGAGAAGAACUGGUAAAUAAGUCAACUCAAAUAAACGAUCAAGAAGGACUGUACAAUUGUCAUUCCGUCCUGCAGCCACCAAUGUGAACGUGGAGACUGAUGAGCAAUGUCUAAGAGGUAGCAGCAGGGGAACACUGCAGGAGGCGGUGCCUCCUGAAGGAGCCCAAAACACUGCUCUUUAAAUGGAACACAUCCAACCUCCAGGUGUCCAUGCAGGAUGUACUACUCUGGAACAUCAAGCCUCUCCCUACCUGCCAGCACAUGAAAAUAUUUCUACUUUUGACUCUAUCAAAGACAAUGGAAAACCAUUUUCCAGAUCAGCCCUCAUAGAUCCUCCUGAUGGCCUAACAACUGAACUACAUGUCGAUGCUGAGUAUGAUCCAUCUCAAUCAUUUGCGGAAGCUCUCCCUGAUAUGGGGGAUUGGCUGUACAAUGACGGACAUACGUUUAAUGAAUGAUUUAAAGAUAGUUUGAGUGAGGAGUGUGCAGAAGAGUCAAAUUUCUAGGACACAACAGACAAACCAAUAUAUGACAAUGCAUCAGUAACCGUUUCAGAGUGCCUUCUGAUCAUCAUGGGUUAUGUAAACUGUCAUAAAGUCACUGAUUAGGCCCUAAGCGAUUUGCUCAAAAUGUUCAAGUUGCUUUGUCCCGAUAGUCUGAAUACAGACUGCUUUAACAGUGUACAGAGGUUCAAAAACUUUUUUUAUCCCGCUCUUCAUCAUCGCCUAUUUUAUUACAUAAAUACUGCAGUAAUUGUUUUGGGCCGUUAGAAAGUAAACAAAUAAAAUGCCUGUCUUGUGGGGCCAGUGUGUCAGAAGAAAGAUCCUCAUCCUUUAUAGAGGUUCCAAUUAAGGCUCAAAUAAGGUCAUUGUUCCUCAAGCCAGGUUUUCAGGAGAAGCUUAACUUUAGAUUAAGCAGAAAGAAGGCAGAUGCUAACAACAUUGAAGCUAUAUAUGAUGCAAAAGUUUACAAACAGCUUGUCGAUAGGGGUGGUCCUCUUAGUGACCCAAAAAACAUCUCACUUACUUGGAACACCUAUGGGGUACCUAUUUUCAAAUCUUCCAAGUUUUCAGUGUGGCCUUUUUAAUGUAUCGUCAAUGAAUUAAGCUUCAUGGAACGCACAAAAAGAGAGAAUAUGAUAUUUGCUGGACUUUGGUAUGGGGAUUCAAAACCAUCCAUGGUUACCGUAUGUUUCGGACUAUAAGUCACAGUUUUUUUCAUAGUUUGGCCAGGGGUGCGACUUAUGGUCAGGAGCGACUUAUGUGUGAAAUUAUUAACACAUUAGCGUAAAAUAUCAAAUAUUAUUUAGCUCAUUCACGUAAGAGACUAGACGUAUAAGAUUUCAUGGGAUUUAGCGAUUAGGAGUGACGGAUUGUUUGGUAAACGUAUAGCAUGUUCUAUAUGUUAUAGUUAUUUGAAUGACUCUUACCAUAAUAUGUUACGUUAACAUACCAGGCACGUUCUCAGUUGGUUAUUUAUGCCUCAUAUAACGUACACUUAUUCAGUCUGUUGUUCACUAUUCUUUAUUUAUUUUAAAUUGCCUUUCGAAUGUCUAUUCUUGGUGUUGGGUUUUAUCAAAUACAUUUCCCCAAAAAAUGCGACUUAUACAGUAUAUGUUUUUUUCCUUCUUUAUUAUGCAUUUUCUGUCGGUGUGACUUAUACUCCGGAAAAUACGGUACAUUUUUGAGACCACUAAGUGACACACUGAGUAAGCUUGCAGACAAUGGAAUUAUUGUGCAACCUGCAGAGUUGACAUGUGAACCUUUUGUGUGUAAAGUGCUCACCAUUGCUGGAACAUGCGACUUGCCUGCUAAAGCAUUAGUCCUUAAUUCAGUGCAAUACAAUGGGAAAUUUGGAUGUCAUGAAUGCGAACAGCCAGGAAACCGGGGAAAGAGGAUACACCCAUGUAUUUCCAUUCCAACAUAGAGAUCCAAAUGGGCCACUGCGCACCAAUUAAAAGUUUGUACUGGAUAUGAAAAAUCGCAAAUGAAACCAAAACCAUUGUCAAAGGGGUAAAGGGUCCCUGUUGCCUGAGCAAACUUAAAAUGUAUAACCUUAUCAAAGGCACUGCCGUAGAUUACACACACUCAGUCCUCCUCGAAGAAAUGCGCCUUUUGAAGAUGUUGUGGUUUUCUACAGAGUUUUCUCGUCAGCCCUUUAGCAUGGCAAAGAAUACCAAAGAAAUUGACAGGCGAUUUCAGGAAGACUGUCCUCCAUCCUCAACUACAUAGCCUCGAUCAGUGGCAUCUCACAGAAUGUUUUUUAAAGCAUCAGAAUACCGGGAUCUUUUGCUGUUCUAUGGACCAUGAAUUGAUUAACGUGGACCCCGACUUAAACAAGUUGAAAAACGUAUUCGGGUGUUACCAUUUAGUGGUCAAUUGUACGGAAUAUGUACUGUACUGUGCAAUCUACUAAUAAAAGUCUCAAUCAAUCAAUCAAUCAAAAAACUGUUAUUUUCCGUGGAAUUCUUGCAACAAUGUACUACAACCACUUCCUUCUACUAAGUGAAGCCAUUUUCAUUUUGUUGAUGGACUCUAUAUCGGUUGAACAGAUCCAUCAUGCAGAAAAACUAUUGUGGAAUGUUUGUUCUCAAAUGGCUACACUCUAUGGUGAGCGGUACGAAACUGCAAAUGUACACCUUCUUGUGCACCUGGCAGACAAUGUCAGGGCCCUUGGUCCAUUAUGGACACAUUCAUGUUUCCACUUUGAAGACAAAAAUGGAUAUUUGUUAAGGCUCAUACAUGGUACCCAAAAUAUACCUAUGCAGAUGGUAAAUGCAGUCUAACUUGUGCAGUCUAUUCCUGUUAUUUCACAAACUAUUAACCCAGGGAAUGUCAUAGCUGAAUUUUACAGACAUAUGACUAAAGAUGAUAGUUUCUGUCAGGAAAACAAAGAUUUGUCUAGGAUUAAACUAUAUGGAGCAUCUAGUGAACUUCCAUUGGACACAGUUCACCUCUCUGCAUUGCAAAUACUGUACAUGCUGGUCACUGCAUCAAUUCUGGAACAGUAGGCAUCUUUCACAGGGCACACGUUAAGAGAAAGUAUCUCACAUCAAAACACUAUGAUAAAGGUAAUAGAAGAAACAAUUUUACAGUUUUUUUUCAAAUGACGGACAAACAAAGUAUGAACAGAUUGAUUUCUUUACCAUAGCACAUUCAUGUGCCAAAUGGGCCCCCGUUCGUGAAUUUAAACAUGCAGGUUUUUCUUUGCUGCAAGAUAGUGUAACAAAUGGUACAUGCAGUCAUGUUAUUCCCCUAUUGGAAACCUCUGCCAGUACAGUAGUAUCCUUGGAUGACAUAUUGGGUAAAGUUGUUUUCCUUGACUUCACAUCUAUGCCUGGCAGUGUGUUUGCAGUUCAUUUCCCAAACACACUUGAAAAGUUUUAACUAAUUAAGAACUGAACUGGCCUAAGAAGCCACAAAUCAAAUAUUUGAUCAUUGUUAUAAAUGCUCUGAAAAUACACACCGAUGUGAUGUUGCCGUGGAUGCUGUAAA